rnacentral:lncRNA from 1 species
UCAUAUACCAGAAUUUUGCAUCGCUUGAUAUAGGCAUUUUGGCUCUCUUAAAUAUUGAUGCAGAAAGAGAAGAAAAAAUUAACACCCUUUUUUGUGUGUAGGUUUGGCAAAAGUACUAUUAGGCCCCGAUUGACUAGUGUAGUUCCAGCCAAUUAGGAAAAGAUUAGUACAUUAGUAACACUUUAAAUCCUACAUCUUUCAGAUACUUAAUUAAUA